rnacentral:rRNA from 1 species
GUUUAAGCCCGAGGCUCAACUUCGGACAGGCAAGAGAAACUAUUGGGAUUGAGUUAGUUCGGGGUAGCUGGAAUUCUCGGUGGAGGGGUGAAAUCCGUAGAGAUCGAGAGGAACGUCAAACGCGAAGGCAGGCUACUAGGACAUAACUGACGCUAAGGGACGAAAGCUUGGGUAGCAAAAGGGAUUAGAGACCCCUGUAGUCCAAGCCGUAAACAAUCUUUGCUAGUUGUUCCUGAUUUCGAUCGGGGGUGACGUAAGCUAACGCGUUAAGCAAAGCGCCUGGGGAGUACAAUCGCAAGAUUAAAACUCAAAGGAAUUGGCGGGGGAGCGUACAACCGGUGGAGCAUGUGGUUUAAUUCGAUACAAAGCGAAAAACGUUACCUGGGUUUGACAUCUAGCUGCAACGCUUGGGAAACCAAGAAGUCUUCGAGAGUGCUAGACAGGUGAUGCAUGGCUGUCGUCAGCUCGUGUCGUGAGACGUCCGCUUAAGUGCGGUAACGAGCGCAACCCUUAUCGUAUGUUAUAUGUACCAUACGAGACUGCCCUGCUUAUGCAGGGAGGAAGGAGAGGACGACGUCAAGUCAGCACGUCCCUUACAUCCAGGGCUACACACAUCCUACAAUGGGAAGAACAACGGGUCGCGAUGCCGUGAGGCUAAGCCAAUCCUAAUAAACCUUCCCUCAGUUCAGAUUGAAGGCUGCAACUCGCCUUCAUGAAGCCGGAAUCGGUAGUAAUCGCAAAUCAGAAGGUUGCGGUGAAUACGUUCUCGCUCCUUGCACACACUGCCCGUCAAGCCAGCAAAGUCAGCAGCGCCCGAAGCGGGUGACCGUAACUCUAUUUAUAGAGAUCGGCCCUACUACGGCGAGGUUGGCGAUGAGGACUAAGUCGUAACAAGGUAACC